CCGGCUCCAGGAAAAGCGAGUGGGAUAUCCCAAUCUUUGGACUGCAUCCUGGUUGCCUCUACUGUGGUCACCUUUGGGAAGAAAUGUCUUCUGUAAAAAGAAGUCUGAAGCAAGAAAUAGUUACUCAGUUUCACUGUUCAGCUGCUGAAGGAGAUAUUGCCAAGUUAACAGGAAUACUCAGUCAUUCUCCAUCUCUUCUCAAUGAAACUUCUGAAAAUGGCUGGACUGCUUUAAUGUAUGCGGCAAGGAAUGGGCACCCAGAGAUAGUCCAAUUUCUGCUUGAGAAAGGGUAAACAUUUUAGGCUGUACCACCUGAAAGGGUUUGUGGUUUAAUUUCUUUGUUACAUAUUUACUUUAAAAUUUUGCUUGUUUCCAUAUUUAUAUUGUUGAACUACUAAAUAACUCAUUGGCUAAUUUAUGUAAAAAUGUAGCACAAUUUUUCUAACUUAAAACUUUGUAACCUUUUUCAUUGAGAAAUUAUUUCUUUAUAGCAAAGCAAAUUUAUGAGGAGUCUAAUUAUAAAUUUUCCUCCCAAAUAGAAAAUGCAGAUCUCACUAUGACUACCAAGGACUUCUUGUAGAAUUUUGGUAUCUCUUUAUAGUGCAUAAAGCUUAAUACUGUUUUAUUUUGUGAGUAAUUAUCCAGAAAGUGUAAGUAUCCACUGUCUCUUAACUUUUUGUCAUUUAUGAUUGUUCUUUUAACCUUCCCAAUAGUAA
rnacentral:lncRNA from 1 species